GUUGACUCCUUAGUGGAAGCCAGUGUUGAGCUCUGAGUUCCAACGGUGCUGUUGGUUGACAUUAUUCCCUUCAUUUAAAAUGGGAAGAUUAUUUUGAUAGAGAUUAUGCUUUUCGAUCUCAAGGCAGAAAAAUAGCGCGGAUCUCCUGUCCCUAGUACUUUGCAUGAGUGGGGCUUGGCACCUCUUUGGUUACCAAGCAGGAGAAGCGUUGGAAUACUGUGCUGCAGUGCCUUGCAUUAUACAGUAUUUAUCACAGACCUGCCCUUCCGUGCUCAGUCUGCCGAAAGCACCCCUAUUCACCGGAAGAUCUGUUUGUAAAGAGCUGGGCUUCUGCACAAGCAUGUUUCUGAGGAGGCAGGCAGAUUUUUUUGCUCAGGCAGCAAAUGAGUACAGGAACAUGUUUUUGCUGAUUUAUCGUGUGACCUUGGCCAGUUCACAGCAUAGUUGGUGUCUACUUAUUUCUCCUUUGAAGUGUGGCUGACGGUAUACUUGCAACGAAGGAUAAGUUGACAUUUUGAUCCAGGAAUCAGUAAAUUCCCAAAGGAUGUCUU
rnacentral:lncRNA from 1 species